rnacentral:lncRNA from 1 species
GGCCAACAAUGUUUGCAGAUGCCCACCAAUUCAUCCGUCAUUAUGACCCAUGUCAGUGAACGGGUCGACCUUAUAAAACUUCAACAAUGUCAUUGGUACCAAUUCUGGCUCAAGUGCCUUUUGAAAAAUGAAAAAUUGAUUUUGUGGGACCAAUUGUAUCAACUUCAAGAAAUGGACAAAAAUGAUAUAUAUUGAUAGCAACAGAUUACGUAACAAAAUGGGUUGAAGCCGUAGCUACAAAAACCGAUAGUGCAAGUAUAGUAGCAACCUUUUUGUAUGAAAAUAUUAUUACAUGGUUUGGUUGUCC